rnacentral:rRNA from 1 species
AUUGAACGCUGGCGGCAGGCCUAACACAUGCAAGUCGAGCGGAGUGGCAGACGGGUGAGUAAUGCCUAGGAAUCUGCCUGGUAGUGGGGGAUAACGUCCGGAAAGGGGCGCUGAUACCGCAUACUAUCAGAUGAGCCUAGGUCGGAUUAGCUAGUUGGUGGGGUAAAGGCCUACCAAGGCGACGAACCGUAACCGGUCUGAGAGGAUGAUCGGUCACACUGUAACGGGGACACGGUCCAGACUCCUCCGGGAGGCAGCAGUCGGGAAUAUUGGCCAAUGGGCGAAAGCCUGCUCCAGCCAUGCCGCGUGUGUGAAGAAGGUCUUCGGAUUGUAAAGCCCUUGAAGUUGGGAGGCGUUACCGACAGAGUAAGCACCGGCUAACUACGUGCCAGCAGCCGCGGUAAUUC